rnacentral:rRNA from 1 species
AACGCUGGCGGCGUGCUUAAUACAUGCAAGUCGAGCGGACCAAAUCGGAGCUUGCUCUGAUUUGGUCAGCGGCGGACGGGUGAGUAACACGUGGGCAACCUGCCCGCAAGACCGGGAUAACUCCGGGAAACCGGAGCUAAUACCGGAUAACACCGAAGACCGCAUGGUCUUUGGUUGAAAGGCGGCCUUUGGCUGUCACUUGCGGAUGGGCCCGCGGCGCAUUAGCUAGUUGGUGAGGUAACGGCUCACCAAGGCGACGAUGCGUAGCCGGCCUGAGAGGGUGACCGGCCACACUGGGACUGAGACACGGCCCAGACUCCUACGGGAGGCAGCAGUAGGGAAUCUUCCGCAAUGGGCGAAAGCCUGACGGAGCGACGCCGCGUGAGCGAAGAAGGCCUUCGGGUCGUAAAGCUCUGUUGUGAGGGACGAAGGAGCGCCGUUCGAAGAGGGCGGCGCGGUGACGGUACCUCACGAGGAAGCCCCGGCUAACUACGUGCCAGCAGCCGCGGUAAUACGUAGGGGGCGAGCGUUGUCCGGAAUUAUUGGGCGUAAAGCGCGCGCAGGCGGUUCCUUAAGUCUGAUGUGAAAGCCCACGGCUCAACCGUGGAGGGUCAUUGGAAACUGGGGGACUUGAGUGCAGGAGAGGAGAGCGGAAUUCCACGUGUAGCGGUGAAAUGCGUAGAGAUGUGGAGGAACACCAGUGGCGAAGGCGGCUCUCUGGCCUGCAACUGACGCUGAGGCGCGAAAGCGUGGGGAGCAAACAGGAUUAUGAUACCCUGGUAGUCCACGCCGUAAACGAUGAGUGCUAAGUGUUAGAGGGGUCACACCCUUUAGUGCUGCAGCUAACGCGAUAAGCACUCCGCCUGGGGAGUACGGCCGCAAGGCUGAAACUCACAGGAAUUGACGGGGGCCCGCACAAGCGGUGGAGCAUUUUGUUUAAUUCGAAGCAACGCGAAGAACCUUACCAGGUCUUGACAUCCCCUGACAACCCAAGAGAUUGGGCGUUCCCCCUUCGGGGGGACAGGGUGACAGGUGGUGCAUGGUUGUCGUCAGCUCGUGUCGUGAGAUGUUGGGUUAAGUCCCGCAACGAGCGCAACCCUCGCCUCUAGUUGCCAGCACGAAGGUGGGCACUCUAGAGGGACUGCCGGCGACAAGUCGGAGGAAGGUGGGGAUGACGUCAAAUCAUCAUGCCCCUUAUGACCUGGGCUACACACGUGCUACAAUGGGCGGUACAAAGGGCUGCGAACCCGCGAGGGGGAGCGAAUCCCAAAAAGCCGCUCUCAGUUCGGAUUGCAGGCUGCAACUCGCCUGCAUGAAGCCGGAAUCGCUAGUAAUCGCGGAUCAGCAUGCCGCGGUGAAUACGUUCCCGGGCCUUGUACACACCGCCCGUCACACCACGAGAGCUUGCAACACCCGAAGUCGGUGAGGCAACCCGCAAGGGAGCCAGCCGCCGAAGGUGGGGCAAGUGAUUGGGGUGAAGUCGUAACAGGGUAACC